rnacentral:lncRNA from 1 species
AUAUUAUCCUUAUUUUAAAUAGAACACCGUGUAUAUUAAUAAAUAAUUAAACUAAAGAGAUUUUGUAGCGGUCAUGCUACUUAUCCUUUAAAUUAAUCCCAUUUACUGCCCCUUUAUGAAUUUCAUCUUGGAGACGCCUAUGGGAAUGCCUACAUUCCCAUAUCAGUUGCCUGCAUUCGCAACGAAGCGAGAAGAAGGCACCGCGCAUGAUUUAAUCGGAUCGAGAACAAAAAUCGAUUUUGGUCGAUUGGAACCUCAGUCACAGUUUUUUUGCUUAUACGAAAAUUGUUGUAUAAACCUAUAUACUGUGCCUCAGUCUGGGUUGCCAUAUUACACGAAUUAUCGUGUAAUUACACGAUUUGUUCCUAUUUUACACGAUUACACGAAUCAAGUACGAAAUCUUACGAUUUUUACCAUUAAAAAUUUUCAGUAGUGUUUUUAAUACAUUUUUAUUAAAAUUCACUUAAUACUUCCCUGUAUUGUUUAAAAAUUACUUUGCAAAGAAAGAGAAAUCCUCACAUAUUUGUAAUCUAUACUUUCAUACCUAAUCAUAACAUACCAUAAUAAACAUCUUUGGAAGAGUCUCAAGUUAAGUACUCAUUUACACUAAAGUAAAAUAUAGGGGAAUCCCCUGAAAAUAUUAGGAAGGUAUAAACAUUAGCCAGUCACCAACCGUUCUUGAAUGGUUACGCGCAUGCGCGAUAGCGAAUAAUUAUGCGCAGUAACACAGUUUUCGUUACUGCGCAGACUCGUAACCAUUCAAGGACGGUUUAUUAAGCAUUUUCCGACUUACACGAUUUUACACGAUUUUCAGUAGUCGAGUUUCACGAUUUUUGCUUCACUUCAUCUGGCAACCCUGGCCUCAGUUUCGUCAGUAAACUCGUCAAGGUAACAUGCCGCAUUAUUUAUAAGUGGCGGAGUUUGAAGCGAAAUCUCAAAAUGAAACAUAACUAAAAGGAUAUCAAACAUCAGCCAAUACCAUGUGCCAAAAAUAGUAUAUCAAAAUUAAAUAUAUCUGGGGACCUAUUCACAUAAAAGGAAUUAUAAUACCGCUGGCGUGUUGCUUGUUCAAAUUCCGCCACUUAGUUAUUUAGUCACGUAACGUGACUCUAUCACGUUUAUUAUGUACCUGAUUUUUACAUCAAGGAUUUUCCGGUAGGACUUAACCCACCACAGCAGCCAAAUAGCUUUGUUGUGCCAAGAGGAUUUUUCUGAGGACUGUAGGACUCAGGACUAUUUGCCCCUUUUAACAACCGGCUGUUGUAAAAGCUAAGUUUUUACCUUUCUUUUAUAUACUUUUGGUUCAUAUAUAUUUUCGUACAGUGUAAACUUUUCGUAUGCAUACGAUCAGGUAGAAUACAUAUUUUCGUGAUAGAUAGGGUUUUAGGUCGUUGUUUUUUUUUUGGUUCAAUAUAAUUAGUAGUUUAUUUAAAUAAAUAAAAUCAGGUAUUUUUUAAUAAUAAUUAUAAAUAAUUGUAGCUUAAAAUUUGAUAGUGAAUCGGGGGUAAAAUUUUGUCGUGGAUUUUAAAUAGGGAAUAUGUCUAGGCGGUUUUUACAUUGUAUAUAAAGAGUCACUGACCAGCUCAUUUAUAUAAAUCAAUUACAUAAUUAUUAUUAUUUUGCUAGAUGAGAUACUUAAUUUUUUGGUAACCGUAGCGUUCUAGUAGUGUAUCUCACUCUAGACGAGUUCAAUUUAGGUAAUAUUACUAACUUUGAGUUGUAAGGACUUUGUGCUAUUCCAACGGACUUUUGCUUUGGAUUUUCUACUAAUACCUUUACUUAGCGCAGUGUGUAGUGGUUAAUUGCAUGUUAGUGGCUUUUUGGUCCUGUUUGACCGUUACACCACCCACUACCACUGUUAUUGUGUUUCGAGUUAUAUAUUACAUUGUCAAUAUAUGUAUAAUAUAGUUAUUAUUAUUAAUAUAUUUGUUAUUAGAAA